GAGUAUUCUCGAAUGGUGGUGAAUGUAAAUAUAUUUUGCUUCAUCUUCUCUGCUAGAUUUCACUGUAUCCAUAGCUUCAGUAACUUAUUACAUGUUCCCAACUUUAGAAGCCGACAUUACCACAUCACUCGAUGCUGCUUCAUCUUCCUUCAAAUCGCCAAGUGUCCUAUAAAUGAAAGCCCAUGAUUCACAAGUAUGUAUGUCCUUUCUCUCCUCGUGCCUCGACUAUAAGAAUAUGCCAUUAAAACUAUCUACCUUCUUCGAUGUUUUGUUCUUCAUCAAGUAUCUACAAUUUACUUUUAUCUUUGGUGAACAGAUAUGUAUUGCUAUACCUUUCUCUGUUGGUUUGCUAGUCCGGGAUUGGAUUUGGUUCUGCGAUCAUGCAGCAAGUGGAGUAUGAGGAACACAUGCUGUAAC
rnacentral:lncRNA from 1 species